GCAUGACUCACGAGCUUCCAUCCCAGUGGCCUGGCACAGCCUGUCCCUGACCCCGGGGCCACGGCUGGCUGACCUCACAGCGAGGCUUCCUGUUUGUGGCUUCAUUUUUGCUGCCUCUUCCCGAGAAAGGGUCAGGCUGGUGAGUGACAAGGAGGGAAAGUGGCACCUGUUGAGCCCCUGCACAGCCUGGAGUCAUGGGGGGCACUCGGAUGUGCUCAGCCCCCAGGGCGCAAGCGGGGAGGGGACGCGGCCUGCACCCACGCCCUCGUUCAGGCUGAGCACCGAGCCGGCCGUCCUGGUCUCCCCGGAAGGCAUUCAUCCCGAAGUAUUUACGGGGUUCGCCGUAGUCUGAGCCCACAUCAGAGCCCAGUAAGUGGCAGCUCUGGUUAUUGGUAGUUAGAGCCGAGGGCUUGAGUAGGCCCGGCCUGUAAGUUUGCACGGCCGCACUCGGGCCGCGGACACGCGUGAAUAUCCCCGCCUUUCUGUCGGGAGGUUUGGACGGGUGGCAGCUCGGGUUCCGGACUUUUUGUUACGCUCUUUUUCUGCAUCAUCUUUCACUGGUGCCGCAACGGAUUCCCAGGGACGCUGCUCGUGACAGUCAGCUAUUGCCGUGCGACAAGCUAGACAAAGCAAACGCCAAAACAAUGGAGUUAGCAUGUGGUUGUGCAGGUCGGGAGCUGCGGCUGGACUCAGUUUGGCGGUUCUGCUGGUCUCAGGGGGGCUCCCCCACCUUCUGGGUCCCUCCGAGUCAGCCCCGUGGUCUCUCUUCCUCGCGCAGCCGGCAGGGCGUGUUCCCAGUCCAGACACAGCGAUGGCAACGUUUCCUGAAUCCCUGAGGAUAUGCACACCUGUGGCAGAGGGGCCACCCAAGCAGGUGCCUUUGGGAAGACAGAGCCAUCUGAUAGUGACCUCCCCUGGCCUGGCCUGCACCUGUGUGCACCUGCUGCAAGCAGGGCCAUGCGAGUUGGCGGUGUUCAGCAUCUUGCUGGUGGAGGGGCAAGCUGAACCCAAGAAGCUUUUUAAAAAAUUCUCUGGGAUGGAAUUUGGAGGUGGAAAAAUCACAUACAGAUUCGUGUGGUGGAUGGAAACAAGUGACCGGUUCCCAUUAUUUUCAGCAGGUAAGUAGAGGCUAAAGCAGCAGCAACAGUAACAACACACAGCCCAGACCCUGCUGACAUGUCCUUCCUGUCCUCAAGAGCUUGACGUUUUUUAGGUGGUCCUCCAGGGUUGCUGCCUGGUUGGAAAGAUGCCCUAUAUCAACUAUCAACUAUCAACUCUACAGCCAGCCUAGACAACUGGAAACCUGAGACUUGGGGGUGAGGCUGGAACCAAGACAUCUCCAAUCCUUGAUGAUGAUGAUCCACUCACCCUGUGGGUCCCUUGUGGUGCUGGUGUACCCAGGUACCUUGUCUUGUUCUUGGGACAUCUGGGAGCUUUGAGCAGCGUCAACUGGGGAUAUGUUUUAGGAUCUGUGUCUUUGAAGGUUUUGCUUCCUUUACAUACAACACAUCUUUCCCCAUUCCUCAUUUCCUGGGGAACUCACUAGUCCUUUCCCAGCACUGAGCAUUGAGAAGAGAACAACGAGGAGCUGUAAGAAAAGACCCGGCGAAGUCUUCUUUGGGUCAGUUCUGAAGCUGUACUGUUCCGGGCAUUGCCCUGGGAUUGCAUAAUCCACCCCAGUGCUGACGAAGUCUCACCUGGCACCACUUCAGGUUAAAUAAACUUGGCCCAGGACUUCCAGCUUCCAGAGAAA